CAGUUAGCCUAGUGGUUAAGGCUAUGGAUCACUAAUCCGAAGAUGGCGGGUUCAAAUUCCGUUCUG
rnacentral:tRNA from 1 species